rnacentral:rRNA from 1 species
CAAGUCGAACGCGAAAGUCCCGCAGGGAUUAGUAGAGUGGCAAACGGGUGAGUAACACGUGGGUGACCUGCCUUCGAGUGGGGGAUAACGUCCCGAAAGGGACGCUAAUACCGCAUGACAUCCUGUCUUUGGAAAGACGGAGAUCAAAGCUGGGGAUCGCAAGACCUGGCGCUUGAAGAGGGGCCCGCGCCUGAUUAGCUAGUUGGUAGGGUAACGGCCUACCAAGGCGACGAUCAGUAUCCGGCCUGAGAGGGCGGACGGACACACUGGGACUGAGACACGGCCCAGACUCCUACGGGAGGCAGCAGUGGGGAAUUGUUCGCAAUGGGCGAAAGCCUGACGACGCAACGCCGCGUGGAGGACGAAGAUCUUCGGGUCGUAAACUCCUGUCGAGUGGGAAGAACACUUCCUGGGUGAAUAAUCCGGGAGGCUGACGGUACCACUAAAGGAAGCCCCGGCUAACUCCGUGCCAGCAGCCGCGGUAAUACGGGGGGGGCAAGCGUUGUUCGGAAUUACUGGGCGUAAAGGGCUCGUAGGCGGCCAACUAAGUCAGACGUGAAAUCCCCAGGCUCAACCUGGGAACUGCGUCUGAUACUGGAUGGCUUGAAUUCGGGAGAGGGAUGCAGAAUUCCAGGUGUAGCGGUGAAAUGCGUAGAUAUCUGGAGGAAUACCGGUGGCGAAGGCGGCAUCCUGGACCGACAUUGACGCUGAUGAGCGAAAGCUAGGGGAGCAAACGGGAUUAGAUACCCCGGUAGUCCUAGCCCUAAACGAUGAAUGCUUGGUGUGGCGGGUAUCGAUCCCUGCCGUGCCGAAGCUAACGCAUUAAGCAUUCCG